UAAUUUUGAGGACCUUGCUUCUUGUGCCUUUAGGCCAUAACCAAGAGUUAUUCUUGGGGUUUGAACGAAUAGGAGAUAAGUCUUUCUUUUUUUGUUUUCCUUCUUUACCCUUUACCCUUGCUAUGUGGUUUUCCUAAUUCCCGUUUCACGUGAUCCUUAGCCUUGGCGUGAUACCUGACAGUCCGUGGUGUCACUUUUGGAAAAACAAUUUCACCAACAAGAC
rnacentral:lncRNA from 1 species